AACGAACGCUGGCGGCAUGCCUAACACAUGCAAGUCGAACGAGACCUUCGGGUCUAGUGGCGCACGGGUGCGUAACGCGUGGGAAUCUGCCCUUGGGUUCGGAAUAACAGUUAGAAAUGACUGCUAAUACCGGAUAAUGUCUUUCGGACCAAAGAUUUAUCGCCCAGGGAUGAGCCCGCGUAGGAUUAGCUAGUUGGUGAGGUAAAGGCUCACCAAGGCGACGAUCCUUAGCUGGUCUGAGAGGAUGAUCAGCCACACUGGGACUGAGACACGGCCCAGACUCCUACGGGGGGCAGCAGUAGGGAAUAUUGGUCAAUGGGGGCAACCCUGAACCAGCCAUGCCGCGUAGCAGGAAUAAGGCCCUAUGGGUCGUAAACUGCUUUUGAAC
rnacentral:rRNA from 1 species